rnacentral:rRNA from 1 species
UGCCAGCAGCCGCGGUAAUACGGAGGGGGUUAGCGUUGUUCGGAAUUACUGGGCGUAAAGCGCGCGUAGGUGGCUUUUUAAGUCAGAUGUGAAAGUCCACGGCUCAACCGUGGAAGUGCAUUUGAAACUGGGGAGCUUGAGUAUUGGAGGGGGUAGUGGAAUUCCCGGUGUAGAGGUGAAAUUCGUAGAUAUCGGGAGGAAUACCGGUGGCGAAGGCGGCUUUCUGGACCGAUACUGACGCUGAGACGCGAAAGCGUGGGGAGCAAACAGGAUUAGAUA